rnacentral:snoRNA from 1 species
CCUCGGUCAACCAGUUCCUUUCUUUCCGUGGAUCUGGUACGCAAGAGCCGCCAAGUAUAACCUCCUUGGUCGUCUAUGCAGCCUGCUGGAUGUCCGGGUUCCCCUUAGAGAUCUUCGGAACAGUU